AGAACUUGCUUGACAGAAAAUGU
rnacentral:piRNA from 1 species